rnacentral:miRNA from 1 species
GAGGUAAUGUGGAGUGACUGUCAUGUGCAGCCAACCCAAUAGGUGGCUUGGCUGAAUUUCUAGUUCCUCCUCC